rnacentral:rRNA from 1 species
UCGAACGGAAAGGCCCUGCUUGCAGGGUACUCGAGUGGCGAACGGGUGAGUAACACGUGGGUGAUCUGCCCUGCACUUCGGGAUAAGCUUGGGAAACUGGGUCUAAUACCGGAUAGGACCGCACUUUAGUGUGUGUGGUGGAAAGUUUUUUCGGUGUAGGAUGAGCUCGCGGCCUAUCAGCUUGUUGGUGGGGUAAUGGCCUACCAAGGCGGCGACGGGUAGCCGGCCUGAGAGGGUGUACGGCCACAUUGGGACUGAGAUACGGCCCAGACUCCUACGGGAGGCAGCAGUGGGGAAUAUUGCACAAUGGGCGCAAGCCUGAUGCAGCGACGCCGCGUGGGGGAUGAAGGCCUUCGGGUUGUAAACUCCUUUCGCUAGGGACGAAGCUUUUUGUGACGGUACCUAGAUAAGAAGCACCGGCUAACUACGUGCCAGCAGCCGCGGUAAUACGUAGGGUGCGAGCGUUGUCCGGAAUUACUGGGCGUAAAGGGCUCGUAGGUGGUUUGUCGCGUCGUCUGUGAAAUUCUGGGGCUUAACUCCGGGCGUGCAGGCGAUACGGGCAUAACUUGAGUGCUGUAGGGGUAACUGGAAUUCCUGGUGUAGCGGCGAAAUGCGCAGAUAUCAGGAGGACACCGAUGGCGAAGGCAGGUUACUGGGCAGUUACUGACGCUGAGGAGCGAAAGCAUGGGUAGCGAACAGGAU